AUCGGUCAUGUACCGUAGUGACCAAGGACAGGUAGACAUCAAGACCACGGAACACACUCAGUGCAAAAUGCCGUAAUCAGCGGGGAUCUCCGCACAGGGCUCGCUGGGCUACUCUACGCUGCCUACGGCCUCCGCUGAUGCUCUCCAGGAGAACAGAGAAGCAGCCGGUCACGGUGAAUACUAGGUCUGUAUCCCAUCAGCCACCGAAACCCCGGUGCGGGUGGUGGGCUCCCACCCCCAUCGGCCACGCGGGACUGGGCCACGGAGAGGCUUGCUACUUCCCCAAGGAGCAAGCAGAGACAUGCGCCAUGUGCCAUCUUUUCUCUAUUUACUGACUUAAUGCUCGCUCCUUCUUUUAUUACCAGCUAAUUUAUAGCCACACGAGUAUAAACAUUUCCUGGGUUCUUUUAUCAUUCACAACGUUGUUCUGUCAGUAAUACUAUCUGUCAUUCUUUGUGGUUCGGUAAGCUCUCUCAAACCGAAAAUAUCUAUAUUUCUAAAUGGAAUCUGAGAUGAAUUUUGAUAAACAUGUAUUCUGUAUCUUAAUAAAAAAGGGAUUUCCCCCCCCCAACUACCUGAAUAUAUAAAUGUUUAAAAAGUUUCUGAAACCUGCCUUUGCAUUAGGUGAAAAUUCAAUGUCAAAAUAAUAUUAAAAAUACACAAAACUGUAGGAAAUUGUUUUAACCAUGAUGUGAUAAAUAAUAAAUCAGGAUGCAAGUUCCUCUGUGA